rnacentral:rRNA from 1 species
AGAACGAACGCUGGCGGCGUGGAUUAGGCAUGCAAGUCGAACGAGAAAGGCAUCUUCGGAUGCUAAGUACAGUGGCAAACGGGUGAGUAACGCGUGGGAAACCUGCCCUUUGGUUGGGGACAACACUUCUAACGAGGUGCUAAUACCGAAUUCUGUCAUCAGAUCGCAUGUUCUGGUGAUGAAAGGCGGCCUCUACAUGUAAGCUGUCGCCAAAGGAUGGUCCCGCGUUCCAUUAGCUUGUUGGUGAGGUAACGGCUCACCAAGGCAAUGAUGGAUAGCCGGCCUUAGCGGGUGACCGGCCACACUGGGACUGAGAUACGGCCCAGACUUCUACGGAAGGCAGCAGUCGAGAGGCUUCCACAAUGGGGGAAACCCUGAUGGAGCGACGCCGCGUGGGUGAUGAAGGUUUUCGGAUCGUAAAGCCCUUUCGACAGGGACGAACGGCAUGGGGGUUAAUAUCUCCCAAGCAAAGACGGUACCUGUAAAAGAAGCUCCGGCUAACUCCGCGCCAGCAGCCGCGGUAAGACGGAGGGAGCAAGCGUUGUUCGGAUUUACUGGGCGUAAAGGGCGUCUAGGCGGAGAUGCAAGUCAGAUGUGAAAUCCAUCGGCUUAACCGGCGAACUGCAUUUGAAACUGCAUUUCUUGAGUACGGUAGAGGAGGGCGGAAUUCCUGGUGUAGCGGUGAAAUGCGUAGAUAUCAGGAAGAACACCGGUGGCGAAGGCGGCUCUCUGGACCGAUACUGACGCUGAAGCGCGAAAGUGUGGGGAGCGAACAGGAUUAGAUACCCUGGUAGUCCACACUGUAAACGAUGGAUACUAGGUGUCGGGGGCUCGACCCCUCCGGUGCCGGAGUUAACGCAUUAAGUAUCCCGCCUGGGGAAUACGGUCGCAAGGCUGAAACUCAAAGGAGUUGACGGGGACCCGCACAAGCGGUGGAGCAUGUUGCUUAAUUCGACGCAACGCGAAGAACCUUACCGGGGUUUGACGUGUACCUGACAGGCCUGGAGACAGGUCCUCCUUCGGGCAGGUACAUCAGGUGCUGCAUGGCUGUCGUCAGCUCGUGUCGUGAGAUGUUGGGUUAAGUCCUGCAACGAGCGCAACCCCUAUCCACAGUUGCCAUCGGGUAAUGCCGGGAACUCUGCGGAGACUGCCGGUGAUAAACCGGAGGAAGGUGGGGAUGACGUCAAGUCAUCAUGGCCCUUACGU